rnacentral:rRNA from 1 species
AUUGAACGCUGGCGGCAGGCCUAACACAUGCAAGUCGAGCGGUAGCACAGAGAGCUUGCUCUCGGGUGACGAGCGGCGGACGGGUGAGUAAUGUCUGGGAAACUGCCUGAUGGAGGGGGAUAACUACUGGAAACGGUAGCUAAUACCGCAUAACGUCGCAAGACCAAAGUGGGGGACCUUCGGGCAGCAUGCCAUAAGAUGUGCCCAGAUGGGAUUAGCUGGUAGGUGGGGUAACGGCUCACCUAGGCGACGAUCCCUAGCUGGUCUGAGAGGAUGACCAGCCACACUGGAACUGAGACACGGUCCAGACUCCUACGGGAGGCAGCAGUGGGGAAUAUUGCACAAUGGGCGCAAGCCUGAUGCAGCCAUGCCGCGUGUGUGAAGAAGGCCUUCGGGUUGUAAAGCACUUUCAGCGGGGAGGAAGGCGGUGAGGUUAAUAACCUCAUCGAUUGACGUUACCCGCAGAAGAAGCACCGGCUAACUCCGUGCCAGCAGCCGCCGUAA